rnacentral:rRNA from 1 species
AGCUUGCACGUGUAACGAAUUCCACCUUCCAGAGUUUGAUCAUGGCUCAGGACGAACGCUGGCGGCGUGCCUAACACAUGCAAGUCGAGGGAGAAAGUCCUCUUCGGAGGGCGAGUAAACCGGCGCACGGGUGCGUAACACGUAGGCAACCUACCCUUUGGACGGGGAUAACUUCGGGAAACCGGGGCUAAUACCCGAUGAUGCAGCGGCACCGCAUGGUGAUGUUGUUAAAUCUCUUCGGGGGCCAAAGGAUGGGCCUGCGCCCCAUUGGCUAGUUGGCGGGGUAACAGCCCACCAAGGCAACGAUGGGUAGCUGGUCUGAGAGGAUGACCAGCCACACUGGAACUGAGACACGGUCCAGACUCCUACGGGAGGCAGCAGUGAGGAAUAUUGCGCAAUGCCCGAAAGGGUGACGCAGCGACGCCGCGUGGAGGAUGAAGUUCGUAAGAAUGUAAACUCCUGUUGAGAGGGAAGAACAUCCCCGUUUUCGGGGUUUGACGGUACCUCUCGAGGAAGGCCCGGCUAACUACGUGCCAGCAGCCGCGGUAAUACGUAGGGGCCAAGCGUUGUCCGGAUUUACUGGGUGUAAAGGGUCCGCAGGCGGGCUUGUAAGUCAGUGGUGAAAUCUUCCGGCUUAACCGGGAAACUGCUACUGAAACUGCAAGCCUUGAGUCCAGGAGAGGGUGGUGGAAUUCAUGGUGUAGCGGUGAAAUGCGUAGAUAUCAUGAAGAACACCGGUGGCGAAGGCGGCCACCUGGCCUGGAACUGACGCUCAGGGACGAAAGCGUGGGUAGCAAACAGGAUUAGAUACCCUGGUAGUCCACGCCGUAAACGAUGGGUACUCGGUGUUGGGACGUAUGUCUCGGUGCCAAAGCUAACGCAUUAAGUACCCCACCUGGGGAGUACGAUCGCAAGGUUGAAACUCAAAGGAAUUGACGGGGGCCCGCACAAGCAGUGGAGCAUGUGGUUUAAUUCGAUGCAACGCGAAGAACCUUACCUAGGCUUGAAAGGCAAGCGACCGGGUGUGAAAGCACCCUUCUCUUCGGAGCGCUUGUACAGGUGCUGCAUGGCUGUCGUCAGCUCGUGCCGUGAGGUGUUGGGUUAAGUCCCGCAACGAGCGCAACCCCUGCACUUAGUUGCCAUCAGGUAAUGCUGGGCACUCUAAGUGGACUGCCUACGCAAGUAGUGAGGAAGGUGGGGAUGACGUCAAGUCCUCAUGGCCCUUAAGCCUAGGGCAACACACGUGCUACAAUGGCCACUACAAAGGGUUGCAAGACCGCGAGGUGGAGCCAAUCCCAAAAAAGUGGUCUCAGUCCGGAUUGCAGUCUGCAACUCGACUGCAUGAAGCUGGAAUUGCUAGUAAUCGCGCAUCAGCACGGCGCGGUGAAUACGUUCCCGGGCCUUGUACACACCGCCCGUCAAGCCAUGGAAGCCGGGGGUACCCGAAGUCAGUGUCUCAACCGCAAGGAGAGAGCUGCCUAAGGUAAACCUGGUGACUGGGGGUAAGUCGUAACAAGGCAACAAUAAAGUACGAAUGGGCGUCCGCUACA